GCAGCAGCUGCCACUGAGAGGUCAGCUGUGGGCAGAGAUGGAGCGGUGGCAGUCGCCGCCACUUGGCCAAUUCCAGAGGCCCAGAAGGCCAAGCGGCACCGGACUUGGCUACAAGUGUCUGAGCCGUCACUUGGGACCAGAUUUCCAUCCAGGUCAACGUGGACAGGAAGCAAGGUUCAGAGGACAUCUCAAGACCGCCCUGCCCUUCUGAGAGAUGUGAACCAGGGCCUCAGGCAUUGCUGAUCUCUUUACCCUGUGGCUGUCAGUGCACGAAGGAGCCUGUUUGUAACACACACAGGCCGAGAGAGUCCUUUGAAAUGUUAAGGAAUGAUGGUACCAAAGGCUAGCUCGAAGGGUGCCACCACAAUAAAGUGGGAACGAGGAGAAAAAGGACCUGGCAUUGUGCUUCCAGAAAAUUCAGGAUGAAAGGGCUUGUUCAAGCUCACACCUCAAGAUGGAUCUCCUGAGACUUUCAAACCACUGAGAGCUGGGAGAAAAGAAGGGGAAACAGAAGUGAUGGCAGGAAAAGGAAUGGGGGGAAAAGGCCCCUCUCCAGACAACAUCCACAAGGCCUAGGGAAGCUCUGGUUCCUGACCCCUCACCCUGUCGAGAAGCUGCCAACACAGGAAAAAGUCAACUUCACAGGGGUUCCUUCAAAUGGGGGUGGGGUGGCACACUACCAAGGGAUUAAAGCAGCAACCCCUCCUGGAAGGAAGGAAUCCAGUUGUAGGGAUAUGGAUUUACAAAGGGAGUCAUCCACACUCCAGACAAGACGCAGCAACAGAAAAGGAAAACUUCGGUUCACGCAGACACACCCUACUGUUCGCAGUGUUCACUCUUCUCUCUCUGCUUCCUCUUCCUGCCUGAGAGGACACCUACAUUCUCCAACUACCCAGGUAGGCCUACACAACUCUCCUGGAAACAGCCCUGAAGAGGGCAGCCUUGGAAAGCUGAGGUCUUUUAAGAUCUCUAGCUCACACACCUCUCAGCUGAUGGAAUGAACCAAAAUAACAGUAAUCUGAUACGGCGGUUCUAACAAUGGACGCUUAGACCCUGGGUCACGAGGUACUUCGCUAUACAUAAAAAAUCCUGGUAGAGGCUGAGUUCAGAGUUGCUCCACAUCCCACACAAACAUUUCUGGGGUCCUUUGGAGGGCUAGCUUAAGAUCCUUUUCUAACUCUUCAGAAUAUUCUGAAUUGGCACAUAGAAUGUAUUCAUAUAUGCUGGGUAUAGUACGACAUUUAGAUUCAUGUGUACAACAUGUGCUGAACAUACCAGGGUCACCAGUAUGCCUGGCACUGUCUUGAUGUUGCAGGUGCUCAAAGUCUUUGUUUUUAAAUGAAGUCUUAGUGACUAGUCACCUUGCUGAAGUAUGAAACAUAGACCACACUCCUCUCAGCUAUGUUUCUGCACCCUAACUAACCUGUCUCCUCUUCUUCCUCCCCUUCCCAAACCCUAGUCACCACUGUUUGCAGCGAUCCUUCUAUGAGGUCAACUUAGCUUUCAUGUAUGAGCCCGGACAUACAUUAUUUGUCUCUCUGUGCCUGGCUUAUUUCACUCAACAUAAUGUCCUCCAAUAUGGCCUCCAUUCAUGUUUGACACAGAUCCAGGGUUUUGUUGCUUUUAUGGCUGAAUAGUACUCCACUGUGUACAUGUACCACCUUCUCCUCUGCCCAUCCUUUGAGGAGAAAAGACCUGUGCAAAAGGUCUCCAUCCAUGGACUUAAAAACUAUAUUACACUUAUUCAUUUUAUGUGUAUGGAUGCUUGCAUGUUUGUAUGUAUACCACCUACAUGCCUAGUAUCUAAGGAGGCUAAAGGUCAGAGCACGUCAGAGUGGUGGGUACAACUUGGACUUGGCUACAGAGCUACUGUGAGCCUCAGCUGUACCACUGAAGAAACCGAGUAGAGGAU